GUACACUCCUACGGGAGGCAGCAGUGGGGAAUUUUGGACAAUGGGCGAAAGCCUGAUCCAGCAAUGCCGCGUGUGUGAAGAAGGCCUUCGGGUUGUAAAGCACUUUUGUCCGGAAAGAAAUCCUUGGCUCUAAUACAGUCGGGGGAUGACGGUACCGGAAGAAUAAGCACCGGCUAACUACGUGCCAGCAGCCGCGGUAAUACGUAGGGUGCGAGCGUUAAUCGGAAUUACUGGGCGUAAAGCGUGCGCAGGCGGUUUGCUAAGACCGAUGUGAAAUCCCCGGGCUCAACCUGGGAACUGCAUUGGUGACUGGCAGGCUAGAGUAUGGCAGAGGGGGGUAGAAUUCCACGUGUAGCAGUGAAAUGCGUAGAGAUGUGGAGGAAUACCGAUGGCGAAGGCAGCCCCCUGGGCCAAUACUGACGCUCAUGCACGAAAGCGUGGGGAGCAAACAGGAUUAGAAACCCUUGUAGUCCCAUG
rnacentral:rRNA from 1 species